rnacentral:rRNA from 1 species
AUUGAACGCUGGCGGCAUGCCUUACACAUGCAAGUCGAACGGCAGCACGGGUGCUUGCACCUGGUGGCGAGUGGCGAACGGGUGAGUAAUACAUCGGAACAUGUCCUGUAGUGGGGGAUAGCCCGGCGAAAGCCGGAUUAAUACCGCAUACGAUCCACGGAUGAAAGCGGGGGACCUUCGGGCCUCGCGCUAUAGGGUUGGCCGAUGGCUGAUUAGCUAGUUGGUGGGGUAAAGGCCUACCAAGGCGACGAUCAGUAGCUGGUCUGAGAGGACGACCAGCCACACUGGGACUGAGACACGGCUCAGACUCCUACGGGAGGCAGCAGUGGGGAAUUUUGGACAAUGGGCGAAAGCCUGAUCCAGCAAUGCCGCGUGUGUGAAGAAGGCCUUCGGGUUGUAAAGCACUUUUGUCCGGAAAGAAAUCCUUGGCUCUAAUACAGUCGGGGGAUGACGGUACCGGAAGAAUAAGCACCGGCUAACUACGUG